CAUAUGGUUUAUAGUGUCAAGAGAUGUGUAUAAGGGAGAGUGGAAACAAAGCUUAGCAGGAGAGGAGAGCCAGAGAAGUGACAGGGAAGCUAUAGGUUACAACAGAUUUGUGAACUCAGCCAAGCACAGUGGUGGCAGGGCCUAGCUGUUACAAAGAAGACAUGUUUUAGACAAUACUCAUGUGUAUGGGCAAAAAACUCGAGGACUGUAUUUGUGACUAAUUGUAUAGCAGGUUAUUUUAGUUUCUGUUCUGUGGAAAGUGUAAAGCAUUCCAACAAAGGGUUUUACUGUAGAUUUUUUUUUGCACCCAUGCUGUUAAUUGCUAAAUGUAAUAGUCUGAUCAUGAUGCUGAAUAAAUGUGUCUUUUUUUAAA